rnacentral:rRNA from 1 species
UACGUAGGUGACAAGCGUUGUCCGGAUUUACUGGGCGUAAAGAGCGCGCAGGCGGUCGUUCAAGUCGAGUGUGAAAGCCCCCGGCUCAACUGGGGAGGGUCACUCGAUACUGAUCGACUCGAAGGCAGGAGAGGGAAGUGGAAUUCCCGGUGUAGUGGUGAAAUGCGUAGAGAUCGGGAGGAACACCCGUGGCGAAGGCGGCCUGCUGGGCCGAUCCUGACGCUGAGGCGCGAAGGCGUGGGGAGCGAACGGG